GCUUAACACAUGCAAGUCGAGGGGUAUAGUUCUUCGGAAUUAGAGACCGGCGCACGAGUGCGUAACGCGUAUGCAAUCUACCUUUUACAGUGGGAUAGCCCAGAGAAAUUUGGAUUAAUACCGCAUAGUAUUAUAGGAUGGCAUCAUUUUAUAAUUAAAGUCACAACGGUAAAAGAUGAGCAUGCGUCCCAUUAGUUAGUUGGUAAGGUAACGGCUUACCGAGACUACGAUGGGUAGGGGUCCUGAGAGGGAGAUCCCCCACACUGGUACUGAGACACGGACCAGACUCCUACGGGAGGCAGCAGUGAGGAAUAUUGGACAAUGGGCGCAAGCCUGAUCCAGCCAUGCCGCGUGCAGGAUGGCGGUCCUAUGGAUUGUAAACUGCUUUUAUACGAGAAGAAACCACCCUACGUGUAGGGUCUUGACGGUAUCGUAAGAAUAAGGAUCGGCUAACUCCGUGCCAGCAGCCGCGGUAAUACGGAGGAUCCAAGCGUUAUCCGGAAUCAUUGGGUUUAAAGGGUCCGUAGGCGGUUUAGUAAGUCAGUGGUGAAAGCCCAUCGCUCAACGGUGGAACGGCCAUUGAUACUGCUAGACUUGAAUUAUUAGGAAGUAACUAGAAUAUGUAGUGUAGCGGUGAAAUGCUUAGAGAUUACAUGGAAUACCAAUUGCGAAGGCAGGUUACUACUAAUGGAUUGACGCUGAUGGACGAAAGCGUGGGUAGCGAACAGGAUUAGAUACCCUGGUAGUCCACGCCGUAAACGAUGGAUACUAGCCGUUGGGAGCAAUUUCAGUGGCUAAGCGAAAGUGAUAAGUAUCCCACCUGGGGAGUACGUUCGCAAGAAUGAAACUCAAAGGAAUUGACG
rnacentral:rRNA from 1 species